rnacentral:rRNA from 2 species
AAGCAUAUCAAUAAGCGGAGGAAAAGAAACCAACAGGGAUUGCCCUAGUAACGGCGAGUGAAGCGGCAACAGCUCAAAUUUGAAAUCUGGCCCUAGUGGUCCGAAUUGUAAUUUGUAGAGGAUGCUUUGGGCGCGGUGCCUUCCGAGUUCCUUGGAACAGGACGCCUUAGAGGGUGAGAGCCCCGUACGGUUGGACACCAAGCCUAUGUAAAGCUCCUUCGACGAGUCGAGUAGUUUGGGAAUGCUGCUCUAAAUGGGAGGUAAAUUUCUUCUAAAGCUAAAUACCGGCCAGAGACCGAUAGCGCACAAGUAGAGUGAUCGAAAGAUGAAAAGUACUUUGAAAAGAGGGUUAAAUAGCACGUGAAAUUGUUGAAAGGGAAGCAUUUAUGACCAGACCUUUGCUAGGUGGAUCAUCCGGUGUUCUUCACCGGUGCACUUCGCCUAGCUUAGGCCAGCAUCGAUUUCUGUAGGGGGAUAAAGGUCUAGGGAACGUAGCUCUCUUCGGAGAGUGUUAUAGCCCUGGGCGUAAUACCCUUACGGGGAUCGAGGUUCGCGCUUCGGCAAGGAUGCUGGCAUAAUGGUCAUCAAUGACCCGUCUUGAAACACGGACCAAGGAGUCGAACAUUUAUGCGAGUGUUUGGGUGUCAAACCCUCACGCGUAAUGAAAGUGAACGGAGGUGAGAGCCCUUACGGGUGCAUCAUCGACCGAUCCUGAUGUCUUCGGAUGGAUUUGAGUAAGAGCAUAACUGUUCGGACCCGAAAGAUGGUGAACUAUGCGUGGAUAGGGUGAAGCCAGAGGAAACUCUGGUGGAGGCUCGCAGCGGUUCUGACGUGCAAAUCGAUCGUCAAAUCUGCGCAUGGGGGCGAAAGACUUAUCGAACCAUCUAGUAGCUGGUUACCGCCG